rnacentral:rRNA from 1 species
UACGUAGGGUGCGAGCGUUAAUCGGAAUUACUGGGCGUAAAGCGUGCGCAGGCGGUUCGUUGUGUCCGAUGUGAAAGCCCCGGGCUUAACCUGGGAAUGGCAUUGGAAACUGGCGGGCUUGAGUGCGGCAGAGGGGGGUGGAAUUCCGCGGUGUAGCAGUGAAAUGCGUAGAGAUGCGGAGGAACACCGAUGGCGAAGGCAGCCCCUGGGUCGACACUGACGCUCAGGCACGAAAGCGUGGGGAGCAAACAGG